GGCCCCUCAAUAUGGCUUUUAUCAUUCUGGACAUGAGUACAUGUUGUCUUUUUAUAAUAAAUUCAUGAUCAUCCAAAGAUACUGAUUUGACAUACAUGGCAUCAGGGCCUUAACAGGUACGAUGGGUUUUGUCUUCUCCACCCAAUAUGUUCUGAUGAAAUUCCGCUUCACUUCCACAGGAACUUUAGUGGUUUCCUGGUGAGGCCAGAACACUGAGUCUGUCGCCUGCUUCCAUCUACAGAAAGUCUGAGUACUUGAUUAUCCUUGUCACUGUGUUCAUAUUGGCUAUAUCAGCAGGAAGCACUGGAGGAGUCGAAGAAGAGUGAGUCAAAUUGAAGAAUCCCCAAGAAGAAACUGAGACCAGAUCUCUUCAUGUUUUUAAUAUUUCCCAGCAGCGAUGGAACCACAUGAGAAAGAAAUAGAUACUGGUAGUAAUUUUGUAUUAGUGAUGGUGAUGGAGUACUGAAGGAAAAUCGCACUCAAAAUAUUAUGCUCACCACAUGGGCCAUAGAGGUGUUCUGGGUAAAUGCUCUAACUGAAGAGAUCCACAGAUAUUUGAGUGUGGUCUGCUCUGGAGGAGCUUGGUCUCGGAUUUGACAUUGACAUCUCAGCGCAGGCAUUUCGGAAAGAAAAAACGAUGUCUUAUUUUUUCCAUCUCCACAAGUGAAUACAGUACCCGGGAUGCAGAAGAUGUCUUAGGACCUGCUAAGCGGCCUCCAAUAGACCUCACUUCUUUGGCGUCAGUAGGACAGAACUCUCUUUUAUAGACUGAGACCUCAGGUUGCUGCCAUCGGUCAUGCUUUGUUUGGAGUGACUUUGGAGAAUUUCACUUUAUUUUACAAGAUAGACCAAAUAACGUUUGUUCAACUAAAUGAACUUUGAAAGACACAUUGAAACAGGAAGAAUGAGGAUGAAUUAGGAUCAGAGAAAACAUUUAAUACUGUUGGCAUUUCACAGCCAUUGCACAGCAAAGAGAAGAAGGAGAAAAAUGCCAGAAAAAAAAUGUUAUGAUUAAAUUUCUCUGAUUGGCGAACACUCCGUUUUUAAUGUUUAUGCUGAAACAUAAACAAAAUGGAGUAGCAUUAUUACCUGUAUAGCAACCAUAGUGAGUGGAAGACGGGUGCUCCAUUUUACUGCAAUCCUGAGGCCACACACCCAGAACAUGUGACAAACUGUGCCGUGCAAGUAGCUGGUUGUCUGCAAGAGCUGCUCGCUGAAAAAUCGCAUCAAUCAAAACAAGCUCCCAGAGCUCAAAGUGCUGGAGAUAUCACAAUCAUUAAACAGUAAUGCAAAUAAAAAAGCAAUAUCUCACCUCA
rnacentral:lncRNA from 1 species